AUCGUGAGGUAUGCUGGAGGUAUCAGAAGUGCGAAUGCUGACAUAAGUAACGAUAAUGCGGGUGAAAAACCCGCACGCCGGAAGACCAAGGGUUCCUGUCCAACGUUAAUCGGGGCAGGGUGAGUCGACCCCUAAGGCGAGGCCGAAAGGCGUAGUCGAUGGGAAACAGGUUAAUAUUCCUGUACUUGGUGUUACUGCGAAGGGGGGACGGAGAAGGCUAUGUUAGCCGGGCGACGGUUGUCCCGGUUUAAGCAUGUAGGCGGAGGUUCCAGGUAAAUCCGGUACCUUUUUAACGCUGAGGUGUGAUGACGAGGCACUACGGUGCUGAAGUAACAAAUGCCCUGCUUCCAGGAAAAGCCUCUAAGCAUCAGGUAACACGAAAUCGUACCCCAAACCGACACAGGUGGUCAGGUAGAGAAUACCAAGGCGCUUGAGAGAACUCGGGUGAAGGAACUAGGCAAAAUGGUGCCGUAACUUCGGGAGAAGGCA
rnacentral:rRNA from 1 species